AAUAAUCAUUUGUUGCUAUCAUCAUCUAGUGGUGUUUCGCAAGAAACAUUAAAUCAGAGCAUCGGAUCGUCGAGGGCCAACUCACUGCCACGACCUGUGUCACCAUCACCAUCUGUUAACAGCGAUAAGCCUGAAACAGGAGCCCCACAUGAUAAGCAUGAACGCGAGGAGGAAGAACGCAAACGCCGAAUUCAGCUGUACGUAUUUAUAUCACGAUGUAUUUCGUAUCCGUUUAAUGCUAAACAUCCUACGGAUAUGACAAAACGGCAACCAAAAACUACGAAACAACAAUUAGAGAUAAUUACCCAACGAUUCCAGGGAGCAGAUCGAUGUUUCCACGACGAGAUUGAUG
rnacentral:sRNA from 1 species